UGUGGGGAAAAGUAAACUCUGCCUACAACUCUCAAUAUUUCUUCCAAAAAUUUGUAAGGAAAGUAUAAAUUUCUUGUAGUGUACCUAAAUAACUUGAUUGUGGAGGUGAAUCCUUAAAACCAGAAUAGUCUAACAAACGCAGGAAAGAAUUAUCGAGGAUGUGAAGCCUUAAGGAAAUAUUCCAGCAAAAUGAUACAUGUUGCCUAUAUUUGGGAUGAAAAGUGCGUUGAGAAUCAACAACAGAUAUCCAAAUGGGAGCUUCCCAAACCGAAUUGGGAGCUUUGGAGUGCUGAAAAGACUUAAGUAACCUUAGCAAAACCUAAGACUCAAAAUUAGAGUAUGGAACUAAAUUACAAAUCCUUUACCAAACAAGGUAGAGUAGAUAAUAUGUAUACUUUUACAGAGUGAAUGGUACAUUAUCCUUCCUCUUCUCAUCCGUGAUCAUACAUAGCCUUAUAAUGAAGAAAAAAGAUUCUGAGGUAAAUUGAGUACAAGUUGGAAUUGUACUCUGAAUAGAAUAAAUUAUUUGUGGUCUUUUAGUUUCAUUUUCCGGUGAUGCAUUAUGAUGUUCCUGUUUUUCAAUUUGAUGUUCUACAUUGAGAACUGUACAUUCAACUUUGUUUUUUGUGUACGUGAAUAAACAUCUGCUUGAUUGUCCAUCCGUGAAAUAGUGAUUGCAUGGGUGCGCCCCUCGGGUCAUAUUCCAGUAGUGC
rnacentral:lncRNA from 1 species